ACGACGCCCUGCGCGUCCGCGGGCUCAACGGGCCCCGACGGCGGGGGUGGUGCCGUGUCGGCGCAGCACCACCCCCUGC
rnacentral:ncRNA from 1 species